rnacentral:rRNA from 1 species
UAUGAAUGAAUUUACUAAUAUAACUUUUAUGUUUUUACUGAAUUUAUAAUUUUGUUGAAAAUAACAAAAUUUACCUUAAGACUAAAAGACCCUAAAAUUUUUAUAAUUUUUAUUAUUUGGUUGGGGAAAUUAAAAAUUUUAAAAUAUUUUUAAAUAUUAUUGUUUUAGAACUUUUUUUAUUGAUAAAUGGAAAAAUACUCUAGGG